GUUCGUAAAUCGUGACAAUAGUACUGAAAAAGAAAUAUUAAUGAAAAUAAAAGUGGUGACUGCAUAUUACGUCUUCUUUUUUAUCGUAUUUUUUGACAUUAUUUCUUUAUAGAUUUUACUUUUCCCUCCUAAUUAUGUGAUUAUAGAAUAUUUGUGAUGUAUUUCGACAGUUCGUAUGAUUUUAUAUCGUAUUUACAAAAAUUUUAUAUUUUCGAGAAAUUAUUCAUUGACUAGUAACGUAUCUGCGCAUGCGCUGCGCAUGCGAAUCGUCUUAUCAGUAGAUGCAACGCCAUUUUGUGUUCAGUGCUUGACAGGUACACGCGGAAGCCGUAUCGUCCUCAUUAAUUUCAGGUUUCCAAGAAUUCUACGUACCGCAGCGAUGAGAUAUCCCGGCUUUCUUUUUCUACAUCUUUGUCCUUCGUCCUGUGUAUUAGCUCAAAUAAAAGAAGAAUCGUUUUCUUUGUCAUUACGGGGUAGAAUACUUAUCGUACAAAGAACCAGCAAACAUUCCGGUAAAUAAAUGUAACUUUACAUAUUUCCUCAAUAAAUUUAAUAAGUUUUUAAUAUGACAAUGAUACUAAUAAAUUGGGUUUUUGUUUUUUCUUCAGUUUAAACACAAGAAGAAUCACUCUUUUCAUCAUUACAGGCAGGAUGCUGUUUAUCAUGCGAAGAACCAGCAAACAUUCCGUUCAAAUAAAAAAAGAAUCAUCCUCUUCAUCAUUCUCGGGCAGGAUGUCCAUCUUGCAAGCAUCAACGAAGAUUUUAAAAUAUCAUUGCAACCAUGUACGAAGCAAUGAAUAAAUCGAGUGUUGUAUCGCUAAAACAAAAACUAAAAAAUCGCGAAAUAGAAGCAGUGCUUGCUCGUUUGUUUAAAUUAUACCGCGUUUCGCGAUUUAAAUUAAUUUUAAGUGUUUUUGUGUUGACUGCGUGCAAUGCAGUCAGUUAUAGAGUCAGUGUUUGCUCGUACAAAGUGACUUCAAUAGUCAUGUAGACUGUACUUAUAAAAGAUAGUAGAGCUUCGCGAAUUAAAUUCAGUUCGUUAAUAAAUAUCUAUCGCGAAUUAGAGUCAGUGCAUCACUGAAGAGGAUCUCGACCAACUUCGGUGUCUACCUACCUCAUUUUCAACCAGCUACGUAUCAUCCAACCUCAAUGUCGACCUAAAUCGCGGACGAGUGUUUUGGAGCCACCGUAGAACUUCUUAAGUAGUGAGUAAACAAAUUUUAAGUCCCUCCAGUGCUCAAUCAUGUCGAGGACGAAAGGUCCGAAUCGGCACGAGUUACUGGUUGUAAUUUUUUAAAUAAAUUAUUGACGAGCAUGACCGUGAGUAACUCCUCUUUUGGACUUACUCGCGAGUGGUAUAUUUUUAAUCGCUUAUGUGUUUUCAUUGUUUAUAUCUAUUUUAUUAGUUUAGGAUAGGGUCUUGUUUCAUAGAUUGGAUUAAUUAAUAGUGCAAUUAAUAAGCACUUUUUUUAUUCGU